CUUUUAUUCUCUCUCACACACAUUCACGGAUAAAGUUUAGGCAUCGAAUAGUUGGUUCCUGGGCUGUAAACCUCCCAACUUCCUGAUCCAUGCUCCAAAGGACAGAUCUAGGAUCAGCUCACCCUCGUCAAAUCCAAACCAGGACCUUAAUAAUCCACAAAGGGGAAAACGGACCUGAGACCAGCAUUUAAACCCCACGUCUUCCUGUCCAGACACUGCUCUCCAUCCAGAGUUCCUCCUGUGCUCCAGCUGUCCAUCCGUCUAUCCAUCCAUUCAUCCCUCCACACCCCAGCCAACCAGCCAUGGGUCUGAUGAGUGAAGACAUGAAUUGUUGCGUCUGCUUCCAACCCUACUCUCGCAGGGAGAAAAUCCCUCGGGUGCUCCACUGUGAACACACCUUCUGUGGGCCGUGCUUGGAGACAAUCUCCAGGCUCCAGAGUGGCCUCCUGACCGCGUGCUGCCCUCUGUGUCGCUGGAUCACCUGUAGCCAGGUCAGCCUACCCUUUGCUGGUUCUCUGGUUGUCAACACUGAGAUCUGGGACCAGAUAGCAGACAGACAGGAGGAAGAGGAGGAGAUGGAGGCGUGGAUAGGAAAUAACAGACAGACACAGACCUCCACACAGUACAAAUGCUCUUCAUUGGGGCAUUCUGGUGUGAGGAUCAAGCUACAGAGUUUCUGGAGGAGAAUGAGGCACAGUGGUCAGAGAGCACUAAAAGAAGGGAAGAAAUGAAGGUCUUGGUUGUGUUUUGAUAGAUGAUGUCACCGUAGUAGUCUAGGACAGGAAGCAGCAGUUGGGAUACCAAGGUCUUUCUUUUUCAGUAUUUAUUUGUUAUAUUUUAUACAAUAUACGGUCUACAAUCUUUAUAAUCAAAACAAAUAUGUCACCUUUAUUUCAACAUGUAGUUUUUUUGAGACCUAGUUUCUCUUUUUCAAAUGAACCCUGUAAUAUGAUUGUCCCUAUAUGUCUGAAGUGCAUAUUUUUUGUACUCAAGUGAUAUUUAUUGCUAUGAUUGUAAAAUAAAUUAAUCUGCUUUAAAAUAACUGUCUUCUAGUUGUGAAAUCACGCUGGUGCAAUCAAUUCUCUCUCUCUCCCUCUCCCUCUGGUUUGAGGAACUAUUAUUGUAGUAACAGCAAAAUAAGCUAAUGUUAUUGUACCCGUAAGUGUGUUGUAAUUCGCAACAAUAUCAUAGAAUUACGUUACAUUCGCUGCCAUGUCAUUGUUAUGCCACUGGGGUUAGAAAGCUUGUAUCCAUGGUGCGACAGCUCUUAGUGUAAUUACGGUAUAGGUGCGACAGCUCUCACUGUUAUAACGGUAUAGAGAAUUCAGAGUUAAGGGUUUAUAAAGGACGUCGUUUGUUCGGUAAAAAAAAAAAAAAAACAGUCAGGAACCUUCUGCGAUAAUUGUGCACAUUUUCAUAAUUUUCGCCCUAAUUGUUAAUUUACAAAGUAUACGGGACUGGACUUUUAUUCUGAAGGAUUACAUAAAUCCGUGACCCCGGACCGGAGAUGCAGGAAAAACAGCUGAUUCUUGAGAAGUGAAACUGAAAGGGGGAAACCUAAAGGUGAUGACAGACGGUUGGUCCACAGACAGAACAAUGUGCCAGAUAUUUCACCGGAUGAAUAAAUGUGAAACAUCUGAUUGGCGUUUCCUCUCACUGUUUCCAAAAUCAGAAUCUCUCUCUAGUUUAAACAGACUGAUUUUUAUGGGGAUUUUUUUCAUAAUGCCAAUUAGAUUUCCAACUGCGCGCGGACAUCGACUUCAGUUAAAACCACUACAAUGACAAGGCACGUUCUCAGAUAGGGGUCUAGAAGUGCUACCCUCCUCCAGUGAAAAUACCCCUACAAAAUAAGAUUGAUCUAUUUUAGAUAUCGGUGACCAAAAACUGGACAUGUGUGUCGUUUUUAGACAUGAAUACCUGUUCCCUAAAUGUCUCUGCAAGGGCCUGACAAAGAGGAUUCCAUCAAAGCAUUUCCUGGAAGAAAUAAAACAUGGCGUGAAUUCUCCACAAGUGUUGACAAUUCUGUGUUUUUGGACUUCCAUGGAACUAACCUGCGUCACCUGAGAGCGGAGGAGGUGAGAGACCGCCCCUUAUGAAACAAGAAAAAAAAAAAAAGUAUCUUUAUUUUACUAGGCAAGUCAGUUAAGAACAAAUUCUUAUUUUCAAUGACGGCCUGGGAACAGUGGGUUAACUGCCUGUUCAGGGGCAGAACGACAGAUUUGUACCUUGUUUGAACUUGCAACCUUCCGGUUACUAGUCUAACACUCUAACCACUAGGCUACCCUCACCUUCGCAGUGGCUUAAAAGCACAGGUAGACAAUGUUGCAAGGGUUCCCAAACUUUUUUGCCCUACGACCCCAAAUUCUUGUGACCUCAACCAUGUGAAAAAAUGUGGUAAUUAAAUGCACUCAAAUAAUAAUUAAAUUAAAUUAAAUGCACUAAAAUGCACUCAUUCUAGCAGGAUUUCUGAUUGUCUUCUCAACUCAAAUCAAAUCCUAUGUGUCACAUGCGCCAAAUACAACAGGUGUAGUAGACCUUCCGUUGAAAUGCUUACUUACAAGCCCCUUAACAAACAAUGUAGUUCAAGAAAUAGAGUUAAGAAAAUAUUUACUAAAUAAACUAAAUGUGGGGCUUUGGCAGUCAAUUGUAAAACAUUCUAACUGUAUUUCUGAUUUGUCUUCUCAACUCACCAUCACAUACUGUUCAUGUGGGGCUGUGACAGUCAAUUGAAAAUGAGUCUGACACAAUGUGUCUUAUCUCACCAUCUCGUUUUCAUGAUGGGGUAUUGUGAUGUCAUGAUGGGGUAUUGUGAUGUCAUGAUGGGGUAUUGUGAUGUUAUUAUGGGGUAUUGUGAUGUCAUUAUGGGUUAUUGUGUG